rnacentral:rRNA from 1 species
CUCUAAGGAGACUGCCGGUGACAAACCGGAGGAGGGUGGGGAUGACGUCAAGUCAUCAUGGCCCUUACGGCCUGGGCUACACACGUGCUACAAUGGUCGGUACAAAGGGUUGCCAAGCCGCGAGGUGGAGCUAAUCCCAUAAAACCGAUCGUAGUCCGGAUCGCAGUCUGCAACUCGACUGCGUGAAGUCGGAAUCGCUAGUAAUCGUGAAUCAGAAUGUCCACGGUCGAAUACGUUCCCGGGCCUU